UACGGGGGGGGCAAGCGUUGUUCGGAAUUACUGGGCGUAAAGGGCUCGUAGGCGGCCAACUAAGUCGGACGUGAAAUCCCUCGGCUUAACUGGGGAACUGCGUCUGAGACUGGCGAGCUUGAGGGCAGGAGAGGAACGCGGAAUUCCAGGUGUAGCGGUGAAAUGCGUAGAUAUCUGGAGGAACACCGGUGGCGAAGGCGGCGUUCUGGACUGCAUCUGACACUGAAAGACGAAAGCUAGGGGAGCAAAUGGG
rnacentral:rRNA from 1 species